GCCCCAGUAGCUCAGUGGCUAGAGUACCUGACUUGUAAUCAGGAGGUUGGGGGUUCAAAUCCCUCAUGGGGCU
rnacentral:tRNA from 1 species